GCCAGGUGCAGUGGUGCACGCCUGUAAUCCCAGUAGCUCAGGAGGCUGAGGCAGGAGGAUCAAGAGUUCAAAGCCAGCCUCAGCAAAAGCAAGGCACUGAGCAACUCAGUGAGACCCUGUCUCUA
rnacentral:sRNA from 1 species